rnacentral:rRNA from 1 species
GAAAGAUCCAUCGGAAGAGGAUGGGCAUGCGGCGCAUUAGCUAGACGGCGGGGUAACGGCCCACCGUGGCGACGAUGCGUAGGGGUUCUGAGAGGAAGGUCCCCCACACUGGUACUGAGACACGGACCAGACUCCUACGGGAGGCAGCAGUGAGGAAUAUUGGUCAAUGGGAGAGAUCCUGAACCAGCCAAGCCGCGUGAGGGAAGACGGCCCUAUGGGUUGUAAACCUCUUUUGUCGGAGAACAAAACCCGGGACGUGUCCCGGACUGCGUGUAUCCGAAGAAAAAGCAUCGGCUAACUCCGUGCCAGCAGCCGCGGUAAUACGGAGGAUGCGAGCGUUAUCCGGAUUUAUUGGGUUUAAAGGGUGCGUAGGCGGUCCGUUAAGUCAGCGGUAAAAUUGCGGGGCUCAACCCCGUCGAGCCGUUGAAACUGGCAGACUUGAGUUGGCGAGAAGUACGCGGAAUGCGCGGUGUAGCGGUGAAAUGCAUAGAUAUCGCGCAGAACUCCGAUUGCGAAGGCAGCGUACCGGCGCCAGACUGACGCUGAGGCACGAAAGCGUGGGGAUCGAACAGGAUUAGAUACCCUGGUAGUCCACGCAGUAAACGAUGAAUGCUGGUUGUCCGGGUCGAAUGAGAUCUGG